rnacentral:rRNA from 1 species
AUUGAACGCUGGCGGCAGGCCUAACACAUGCAAGUCGAACGGUAACAGGAAGAAGCUUGCUUCUUUGCUGACGAGUGGCGGACGGGUGAGUAAUGUCUGGGAAACUGCCUGAUGGAGGGGGAUAACUACUGGAAACGGUAGCUAAUACCGCAUAACGUCGCAAGCCCAAAAAGGGGGACCUUCGGGCCUCUUGCCAUCGGAUGUGCCCAGAUGGGAUUCGCUAGUAGGUGGGGUAACGGCUCACCUAGGCGACGAUCGCUACCUGGUCUGAGAGGAUGACCGGCGACACUGGAACUGGGACACGGUCCAGACUCCUACGGGAGGCAGCAGUGGGGAAUGUUGCACAAUGGGCGCAAGCCUGAUGCAGCCAUGCCGCGUGUAUGAAGAAGGCCUUCGGGUUGUAAAGUACUUUCAGCGGGGAGGAAGGGAGUAAAGUUAAUACCUUUGCUCAUUGACGUUACCCGCAGAAGAAGCACCGGCUAACUCCGUG